AACGCAUAUUGCGCUCGAGGCCUUGGCCAAGAGCAUGUCUGCCUCAGCGUCGGGUUAAUAUCGCCAUCCCUCUAACCAGCAAUGGUUAAAGGUGUCCUGGCGGACCUGGCUGUUCCAGCUCUCAAGCGUCUGUCUGACCUUAAAACAGUCUAACAGUUCGCGUCAAGCAUCUGGAUCAGCUGAAGAAUAGAGGUUAACCAAGGACCCGCUAAGGGCCGCAACUGGGUGGGCUGUCAAAGGCUAUAUCUUUAGUUGUUGGUCUGGGACUUUGCCGUUCGACCCUCAAACAGGAAAUUAACCCUUCAUUUUCUCGACCUGAGCUCAGGCAAGAUUACCCGCUGAACUUAA
rnacentral:misc_RNA from 1 species